AUUUUAUUUUAUUUUAUUCAUAUUUUAGUGUGUGUGUGUGUGGGGAGGUGGGGACAGAGAGAGAGGGAGCAAGAGAAUCCCUGGUAGGUCCAGGUCCAGCAUGGAGUCUGUCGUGGGGCUGGAUCCCACAACCCUGAAAUCAUGAUCAGAGCUGAAAUCAAGCAUCUGACACUUAAUUGAACCAAGCACCCUCUACUUCAUUUUAAAUGUAAAACAUGUCAAAUAAAUGAUGUUUAGCUUGGAGCACCCAGAAAUAAGGCUUGGUAGAGUAGCAUUCUGCACUGGAGGGUGAGUGGUGGGUCAACCAUUAAGCCGCUGCCCUCCUGGGCCCCUCCAGGCACAGAGUGAACACCAUUGUGAGGUCACUCAGUCUGAUAGGUCACUCAGGCAGGGAUAGGGACACCUGGAAAGUUUCUUUAACUCAGGUUUAAGGCGGCGAUAAAUGUAUCAAGAAUGAGUGAACCCAUGUUGUGGAAUAGACUCUUGAUGCUUUUCAUUACCUUGGUGGAAGAAAAAGAAGGAAUGAAAUGCAAAAGCACAAUGGGAAGACUUUUAAUAGAGUGUCUUCCCAGGUGAAGGAGCAUUACAAGUGCUACAGUCUUCAACAUAAUCUAUGGCUGCUGAACUUAAUAACCAUGCCCAGGGCCUCUGCUGUCGACCAGGGAGCCUGCUGA
rnacentral:lncRNA from 12 species